GCAACUACAUAAAUGUUUAACAUAUGUUACUUUAUACACUUUUUUUUUUACCUUUACAAUAGCACCAAUGUCAUCAUAUGCAGUACCAUCAGCAUCAAUAUCAUCUGCAGUACCAUCAGCACCUCAAGCAAU